rnacentral:tRNA from 1 species
GGUGAGAUGGCUCAACAGGUAAAAGCACCCGACUGCUCUUCCGAAGGUCCUGAGUUCAAAUCUCAGCAACCA